rnacentral:rRNA from 1 species
UACGUAGGGUGCGAGCGUUAAUCGGAAUUACUGGGCGUAAAGCGUGCGCAGGCGGUUCGUUGUGUCGGCGGUGAAAGCCCCGGGCUUAACCUGGGAAUGGCCGUUGAAACUGGCGAACUGGAGUGUGGCAGAGGGGGUGGAAUUCCGCGUGUAGCAGUGAAAUGCGUAGAGAUGCGGAGGAACACCGAUGGCGAAGGCAGCCCCCUGGGCUAACACUGACGCUCAGGCACGAAAGCGUGGGGAGCAAACAGG